rnacentral:rRNA from 1 species
UACGAGGGGUGCAAGCGUUAUUCGGAAUCAUUGGGCGUAAAGGGUGCGUAGACGGCUUAUUAAGUCAACUGUUAAAUUCUCCGGCCUAACUGGAGGUAUGCAGUAGAAACUGAUAGACUUGAGAUUGGAAGAGAGGAGUGGAAUUCUCGGAGUAGCGGUAAAAUGCGUAGAUCUCGAGAGGAACACCGAUGGCGAAGGCAGCUCCUUGGUCCAUAUCUGACGUUGAGGCACGAAAGCGUGGGGAGCAAAC